GACGAACGCUGGCGGCGUGCUUAACACAUGCAAGUCGAACGGAAAGGCCCUGCUUUUGUGGGGUGCUCGAGUGGCGAACGGGUGAGUAACACGUGAGUAACCUGCCCUUGACUUUGGGAUAACUUCAGGAAACUGGGGCUAAUACCGGAUAGGAGCUCCUGCUGCAUGUUGGGGGUUGGAAAGUUUCGGCGGUUGGGGAUGGACUCGCGGCUUAUCAGCUUGUUGGUGAGGUAGUGGCUUACCAAGGCUUUGACGGGUAGCCGGCCUGAGAGGGUGACCGGCCACCUUGGGACUGAGGUACGGCCCAGACUCCUACGGGAGGCAGCAGGGGGGAAUAUUGCACAAUGGGCGGAAGCCUGAUGCAGCAACGCCGCGUGCGGGAUGACGGCCUUCGGGUUGUAAACCGCUUUCGCCUGUGACGAAGCGUGAGUGACGGUAAUGGGUAAAGAAGCACCGGCUAACUACGUG
rnacentral:rRNA from 1 species